rnacentral:rRNA from 1 species
UACGUGAAACCGUUCAGGGGUAAACCUAAGAAACCCAAAAGAUCGAACGGGGAGAUUCAUCGUCAGCGGCGCUGGCUUCGCGUCGGUGGGCGAUGUCCCGCGGGGCCCUCGCGGCUCGCGCGCGGGCACGCUACCGUGCGUCGACGUCCGGCGUUCCGUAGUCGUGCACUUCUCCCCUAGUAGAACGUCGCGACCCGCUGGAUGUCGGUCUACGGCCCGGGUGCGGUGACUGCCGCGUCGCCGGUAAAACGGCACGCGCGCAAACCCCCGGUCGCCCGGCCGGCUGUCCGGCGGUACACGCAAGGUAUCAGGCCGCACUUCGCGUGCGUCGAGACCGUCGCAAGCGCGCGCCACGGCACUCGGAGGUUACGGACCUAGCGCCGUCCCCGGUCCUGGCCCGCUGUUGGUCGGUACGGUACACCUUCGACAGGCCUGCGAACGUCCCCGUCCGCGGGGACCGAUACCGGUCGGCGACGCUACUGCUUUGGGUACUCUUAGGACCCGUCUUGAAACACGGACCAAGGAGUCUAACAUGUACGCGAGUCAUUGGGACUUGGCGAUACCUAAAGGCGUAAUGAAAGUGAAGGUCGGCCCUGGCCGUCGAACCGAGGGAGGAUGGSCSGCGUCGCGACGCGGCUCCGCACUCCCGGGGCGUCUCGUUCUCAUCGCGAGAAGAGGCGCACCCAGAGCGUACACGUUGGGACCCGAAAGAUGGUGAACUAUGCCUGGUCAGGACGAAGUCAGGGGAAACCCUGAUGGAGGUCCGUAGCGAUUCUGACGUGCAAAUCGAUCGUCGGAACUGGGUAUAGGGGCGAAAGACUAAUCGAACAUC